GUCUACGAUCAGUAGCUGGUUUGAGAGGAUGAUCAGCAACACUGGGACUGAGACACGGCUCAGACUCCUACGGGAGGCAGCAGUGGGGAAUCUUAGACAAUGGGCGCAAGCCUGAUCUAGCCAUGCCGCGUGAGUGACGAAGGCCUUAGGGUCGUAAAGCUCUUUCGCCAGAGAUGAUAAUGACAGUAUCUGGUAAAGAAACCCCGGCUAACUCCGUGCCAGCAGCCGCGGUAAUACGGAGGGGGUUAGCGUUGUUCGGAAUUACUGGGCGUAAAGCGCACGUAGGCGGAUUGGAAAGUAUGGGGUGAAAUCCCAGGGCUCAACCCUGGAACUGCCUUGUAAACUCCCAGUCUAGAGUUCGAGAGAGGUGAGUGGAAUUCCAAGUGUAGAGGUGAAAUUCGUAGAUAUUUGGAGGAACACCAGUGGCGAAGGCGGCUCACUGGCUCGAUACUGACGCUGAGGUGCGAAAGUGUGGGGAGCAAACAGGAUUAGAUACCCUGGUAGUCCACACCGUAAACGAUGAAUGCCAGACGUCAGGGGGCUUGCCCUUUGGUGUCACACCUAACGGAUUAAGCAUUCCGCCUGGGGAGUACGGUCGCAAGAUUAAAACUC
rnacentral:rRNA from 1 species